rnacentral:rRNA from 1 species
UACAGAGGUCCCAAGCGUUGUUCGGAUUCACUGGGCGUAAAGGGUGCGUAGGCGCUCAGGUAAGUCUGAUGUGAAAUCUCUGGGCUUAACCCAGAAAUGGCAUUGGAUACUAUUUGGCUUGAGAGUUGGAGGGGGGACUGGAAUUCUUGGUGUAGCAGUGAAAUGCGUAGAUAUCAAGAGGAACACCAGUGGCGAAGGCGAGUCCCUGGACAACUUCUGACGCUGAGGCACGAAAGCUAGGGGAGCAAACAGG